GUGGCUAAUACCGCAUACGCCCUACGGGGGAAAGGGGGGGAUCGCAAGACCUCUCACUAUUGGAGCGGCCGAUAUCGGAUUAGCUAGUUGGUGGGGUAAAGGCUCACCAAGGCAACGAUCCGUAGCUGGUUUGAGAGGACGACCAGCCACACUGGGCACUGAUGACACGGCCCACACUCCUACGGGACGCAGCAGUGGGGAAUUUUGGACAAUGGGGGAAACCCUGAUCCAGCCAUCCCGCGUGUAUGAUGAAGGCCUUCGGGUUGUAAAGUACUUUUGGCAGAGAAGAAAAGGUAUCCCCUAAUACGGGAUACUGCUGACGGUAUCUGCAGAAUAAGCACCGGCUAACUACGUGCCAGCAGCCGCGGUAAUACGUAGGGUGCAAGCGUUAAUCGGAAUUACUGGGCGUAAAGCGUGUGUAGGCGGUUCGGAAAGAAAGAUGUGAAAUCCCAGGGCUCAACCUUGGAACUGCAUUUUUAACUGCCGAGCUAGAGUAUGUCAGAGGGGGGUAGAAUUCCACGUGUAGCAGUGAAAUGCGUAGAUAUGUGGAGGAAUACCGAUGGCGAAGGCAGCCCCCUGGGAUAAUACUGACGCUCAGACACGAAAGCGUGGGGAGCAAACAGGAUUAGAUACCCUGGUAGUCCACGCCCUAAACGAUGUCAACUAGCUGUUGGGGCCGUUAGGCCUUAGUAGCGCAGCUAACGCGUGAAGUUGACCGCCUGGGGAGUACGGUCGCAAGAUUAAAACUCAAAGGAAUUGACGGGGACCCGCACAAGCGGUGGAUGAUGUGGAUUAAUUCGAUGCAACGCGAAAAACCUUACCUACMCUUGACAUGUCUGGAAAGCCGAAGAGAUUUGGCCGUGCUCGCAAGAGAACCGGAACACAGGUGCUGCAUGGCUGUCGUCAGCUCGUGUCGUGAGAUGUUGGGUUAAGUCCCGCAACGAGCGCAACCCUUGUCAUUAGUUGCUACGCAAGAGCACUCUAAUGAGACUGCCGGUGACAAACCGGAGGAAGGUGGGGAUGACGUCAAGUCCUCAUGGCCCUUAUGGGUAGGGCUUCACACGUCAUACAAUGGUCGGGACAGAGGGUCGCCAACCCGCGAGGGGGAGCCAAUCUCAGAAACCCGAUCGUAGUCCGGAUCGCAGUCUGCAACUCGACUGCGUGAAGUCGGAAUCGCUAGUAAUCGCGGAUCAGAAUGUCGCGGUGAAUACGUUCCCGGGUCUUGUACACACCGCCCGUCACACCAUGGGAGUGGGUUUCACCAGAAGUAGGUAGCCUAACCGUAAGGAG
rnacentral:rRNA from 1 species